GACGAACGCUGGCGGCGUGCUUAACACAUGCAAGUCGAGCGGGGAUAAACCCUUCGGGGUUUAUUCUAGCGGCGGACGGGUGAGUAACGCGUGAACAAUCUGUCCUACACAGGGGGAUAACAGAUGGAAACAUCUGCUAAUACCGCAUAAGACCACGGGAUCACAUGUUUCUGAGGUAAAAGAUUUAUCGGUGUAGGGUGAGUUCGCGUCCGAUUAGCUAGUUGGUGAGGUAACGGCCCACCAAGGCGACGAUCGGUAGCCGACCUGAGAGGGUGAUCGGCCACAUUGGAACUGAGACACGGUCCAAACUCCUACGGGAGGCAGCAGUGGGGAAUAUUGGGCAAUGGGCGCAAGCCUGACCCAGCAACGCCGCGUGAGGGAAGAAGGUUUCGGAUUGUAAACCUCUGUCCUCAAGGACGAAGGAAGUGACGGUACUUGAGGAGGAAGCCCCGGCUAACUACGUG
rnacentral:rRNA from 1 species